UACAGAGGGUGCAAGCGUUAAUCGGAAUUACUGGGCGUAAAGCGUGCGCAGACGGUUGCGUAAGUCUGUUGUGAAAGCCCCGGGCUCAACCUGGGAAUGGCAAUGGAUACUGGCAAGCUAGAGUGCGGUAGAGGGUCGUGGAAUUCCCAGUGUAGAGGUGAAAUUCGUAGAUAUUGGGAAGAACACCGGUGGCGAAGGCGGCGACCUGGUCCGAUACUGACGCUGAGGCGCGAAAGCGUGGGAGCAAACAGG
rnacentral:rRNA from 1 species